UUAUCCCAACCUUUUCUCUACCUGUGUGGUUAUAUUUUUCUGGCCCUUUCAGUAUUGCCUCUUGCCUUUUCAGGUGUGACUGCUGAGCAGGUCUUCACCAGCUCCUGAGGAAGGGCAGGAAGCUGAUGCCACCAUGGGGUUGUGGCAACUGAGGGGGUUGGCCAUCACCCUCCUCAAGGCUCAAUGCUUCCUGAGACUUGCAGGCCUGAUGGCUUGGAAAUGAAAAAGGACAGGAAAUGUGCAGCUCCUGGCAGCCAUCUGUAAGUCUUUGCUCUCUACUUGAAAAGGAGGGAGCAGGAUAAGGAAGACUACUGCCCUGCUGUACAGUUUCUCUAGGACCUGUUGGGUGCCAGACUCUUUGUGACAUGAUUAGGUAAUCCUCCCUCCUUGCACCUGGAAGUGCACUCAUUGUGAUGAAGGAUAGGAUCAUAUAUUGUGUCUGAGAAAUUUUGAAGAAGCACAGCUUUUAACAGAGUGGACAGGCAGUCUUGUGACAUCCCAUGGAACAGACUUUUUCCAGCUGCUGUUGGGAUGUGCUGGUGACCUUGGUCCCUCUAGAGAUGACUGUCAGCCAGCAGAAGCAUUUGGAUUUGCACUGAAAUAAAACAUUGAGAAAGGAUAUCCAUCUCUGCAUAGAUUUUCCCAAUAUCUCUCCGGGGCCAUGAUAAUGUAGACAAGGUGUCCACCCUUUUAAUAUUUUGGUUUGAGAGCUGCUGCACUAGAUGGGUCUACUUUUCAUGGACUUUCCAUGUUACCAGCACAUCCUGUGAUGGAGUCAAAGCUCCACUGAGUUGAAGAAAUAAGCAAGUGAUUUCUCUGUAAUCUUUGAACACCUAAUCCUUGCUAAUGGAGGCAAUUUGUUCCUGGUACUCAAAGGUAGUAAUUUAGAAAAUGCUUUUGUUUUUUGUCUGAGUUGGACCAGAUUGCACCUAGUGCAUAUAAUUUUGCAAAAUGAUCCCCAAGGAGGGUAGCUUGUCUUCCCUUGAGUUUCAAAAACUGAAGCACCGUUAUGCAUCUAUAUAGGCAGUAUACUUUGUCAGGGUAAGUUAUUUACAGAUAAGUGCACUUGAAAUAAGUGCAUUUCUUAAGCAGCAUUGCCUGACUCUUUGCUCAUUGUUAUCUAUAGAUUUCAGGGAAAGUAUUUUCACUAUAGUGGAAAGCAAGUCAAUAUAUUUCCCUAAUCCAUCCCUCAAUGUAAAACCAGACAUGUGCACUGCUGGUAUUUAAAGUUAUUUACCAAUUAAAGGACAAGAAAUCCAAGUUUGCAGCAUGUCACUUAAUUUGGAGGUAACAUGGUACAGCCACACUGGACCAAAAACUGUGUUGCAAAGAUCCAAGAAUAAAAGAUCUCCCAUGUUUUUGAACAGCCUGUUCCUUGUAAUGUUGAUACCAUUACAUAAGCAAGAUUAUCCUCCUUUUAUGCUAUGGAGAAAUUGUCCCGUAGUCUGAAAAAGAGACUGGAGUAGAUCCUAAAGCAGCCAAGACCAUUUUUGCAGCAUCUUGUAGCUUCCUUCAUCUCUUUUUUCUUUCCUAAGUUUAUAGCAUUAGGACUUCAAUAGAGUGCUUUAAAACACCCAAAUAGCUGUAUUUUUUUCUUUAUUUUUGACAGGUGUGGUGAAGUCUAGUGGUGACAUACGGUGUGUCAGCUUCCCCUUUCUGCUGGCAUAUAGACACAGAAACUGUAUGGAUGAGUAGAUCUCACAGAGUAAACUGCUGCUUCUGUAUCCAGAAAUGCAACUUUCUGGCUAAAAAAGAGGUGAUCUGAUGCCUCUAUAGUUCAGAACACAGCAUAGACAUACAUACAUAUAUAUAUAUAUAUGUAUGCAUGUAUUAGUGCAUGAAGUGGUUGAAUGCAUAUCAGACAUAGACCAGGAGGAUUUUUUGACAUCUGUUGGAUAAUAUGUAAGUGUAUUAUUUAAAGAAUAGCAAAAAUGAGACUUUUAGGAAAACAGUCCCUCCUUUUCAGUCCCUAGAAAGCUGUAAAUUGUAUUUUGAAGGCUUAGGCCCUUUAAUAUAAACCCUCACCCUAGGUCUUGAUCCAUUUGCAACCCCAAACACACAUGCAGCAACUUUGAUGGGAUAUAAAAGUGUACAUCCAUGUAUUUUACAUGUAGUAGUACAUGCAGAUGGGUAGCUGGCUACUUGCCCACUUAAUUAAGGUCAAAAUUAUCCAGAUAUUUGGAAGGAGAGGUCAUCAGUCAAGAAAGAGCCCUACAUGGCCUCUCUUCUGUAGAAAUUAUUGUGUUUUAUCUGUGAGCAUUUUGGGUAUAUUUAUGGUGCAUGGAGAUCUUUAACUGCUCCAGAAAGAAUCUAUCAAGAUAGUCCAUGUUAAUUUUGAUAUUUAUUAUACACUGUGCCACUUAAUUCAGCUUUCAGGUCAGAUGAAUUAAGAGCCUGUAAUACCACUCCACAUCUGACAGCCUUCAGUACUUGCCAUCUUGGAUCAUUCCUCAGCACACCAGAAUUCAGCUCCCAAACUAUCACUCUGCCCAUUUUCUUGGUAUGGAGCAGCUGGAAAAUGCCCUGAGCACUCUGGGUCUGACUGUUAAUCUGAUGCCUGCCACAUUAAGACAACUUUCAUGUUUCUACAACCUCAGCUUCCAUGCUGAGUGAAGGAAAAAAUUUUUAUCAUGCACCUAUUUAUCAGAUGAUUUAUCCCCUUGUGCUAUACAGAAAACUCCACUGGUUUUCUUGAGGACCUCCUGAAGAGUGGAGAAAUGGGUUGGUCAAAAGUUUCAUUUGUCUUGAAAAAUUGCAUAAUCUUUCAGAAAGAUGAAUUACUGUCACUGUAAAGCAAGUCUCCCAUGAAAUGAAAUGGAAGAGAAUACGCUCUUCAUAUAAAAUUCUCAAGAGGGCUGUCUUCUAUUUCCAGGACUUGAGAGUUUGAUUUUGUUAGUUUUGCUUGUGAGGAAGCCAGCUAUACCAGGUAGUGAGCCUUUUAACUUUUUUAUCACCUCAGACCCUAUUUCUUUGACUCUGCACAGUCUUCUCUGCAUUCUGAGAUUUUUUCAGUGUUUAUGACCCAGCCUGUAUUGAACUUCUGAAAUGUUAUUAGUUGUCAGUUUUAACCUCUGGGUUAGCAGCUAUCUUUUUUGUAAAUGCACUGAGUGCCAAAAAAAAAAAAAA
rnacentral:lncRNA from 1 species